rnacentral:lncRNA from 1 species
AACAACAAAAAGAAAGGAGCUGUUCAUCUCUGUUUGUUUAUGGUUGAUUUUGGCGUUGCACUUGGGUCUCCGAGUUGCCGGCAAUGUGGAAGGUUCUUUACUGUUAUUUUUCCCCCCAUUUUGGCCUUUUCUUUUUGUAUUCCGAUUUCCUUUAAUGCACUUUUUAAAAAUGAAACUAUCUAUUAUUUAACGAAAGCUUUAGGAUUUAAAUCAGAAUAAUAAUUUAUUAGUUAAUUGUCCGUACUUGUCUCUUGCAUGUUUGGUCUGGAUUUGAAGUUUGGUGAAAUUAUCAAUGCUUUAUCUUCAUCAAUGUCUCAAGUCACGUUUCAUCAAGGUAUAUAGGACUUAUUUAGAAGGUUUGCAGUGGUCUACAUUAGAAACUCACUUAGGUUUCAAUCAUACUUCUAGCAGAUUCAUAUUUUUUUCAAUUUCUAACUUCACAUGCAUACAUACCACUCAUUAUCUUAUUCUUACAACACAUCAUAUACCCCAUUCGCAAACAUAUAAGACCUUACGAUGCUUUCACACAUACAUACACUCAUCAAUUACACGAGAAGACAUCAACAUACCCUAACCAUUCAUUUUUAACAUUCAUGAGUCAAGUUAAAGACUCAUCUGAAACUCAUAUUUACUAAAACACAAAGGUUUUGUUUUGAUGAUCCUACCCAAACCAGCAGCAGCAACUAUUUAAAAGAUUAUAAACUUCCAUUAAAACUUCAUUUAUAGACAGUUUACCAACAUCACAAUUUCAGACGACUCUCAUGCAGAACCCCUAAUUCACACCCUACUAUUAAUAUACUUCUUAACAUCCUCACUCUUACAAAAUGAUAAUAAGCAGAGUUAUCAAAUUUACCAGAAGGUUGAAACAUCCACUGAUUAACCUAAAAACCUUAUCUUCCAGCUUAGCGAAGAAGAAAAGAAUAUUAAAAUUUAAAAAGAGUCUAGAAUUUGGAACAAAAAGAAAGAAAAGACCUUCUGAAUGAACCCUUCUUGUAACACCCCCUUACCUGUAUUCGACAUCGAACAGGGUAUGAGGCAUUAAUGGACUUAAACACAAUCAAACACAUAAAACCGAACCAUAAAAUUUCAUUCCAAUUAAAAUCAUUCAUUCAUAUUCUUAACGUUCCUUAUACGACUUACGAGGCCUACAAUAUACAUUAGGGAUGGUUCGGGGCUAAACCGAGAACAUUCGGAGCUUUUUGGAAAACUUAGAAAAAUUUCAUCAUGAAACAGGGCUACAUGCCCAUGUGGGUAGGUCGUGUGGUCACACACAGCCGUGUCCCUAGCCCGUGGAGCUCUCUGACUUACAUUCAAGAAGAAACUUGAGUCACACGGCCUGAGCACACGCCCGUGUUGCUAGGCAGUGUGGUAAUUAAAAUUUCACAUUUUAAGUGCAGACUUCACACGGCCAUGUUAGAGCCCAUGUGUGUCAAACGGCUAAGCCACACACCCGUGUGCUAGGCCUUAUGUCUAAACCUGGACAUUCUGUUUCUUAAUUUUAAGAUGUAGGGGACACACUGCCCUAACACAUGCUCAUAUGGCAUACACGGCCUAGACACACGCCCGUGUGGACGAAAAUAGGACUCUUAAGGCCACUUUUCUCACCCUUAUACUAUCCUCCUGCACAAAAACACAUUUAUAUACUAAGUAAGUCCAACCAAUCAACCAUUUCAAGCUAAAACAUGUAUAUUUCAUUAUCUAACACAACCAUCACAUUCAUUUUACUUUACAUAUUUAAUCAUUUAUACUAUUAUAUUAUCAUUUCAACCCCCUAUACAUGCCAUAUAAAUCAAAAAGUUGUUUACAAAAUCUACUAGAGUAAAUCUGGAUAGUGUGAUCCUCGAUGUAGAUCCAAUCCUCCGAAUGUAUAUACGUCAAUCUUCAAAAAUAGUAAACAUACACAAGUAAGCUUAUAGAAGCUUAGUAAGCUCAUAGGCAUAGAAAAUAAAUCUUAUCGAACAUUUUAUAACAAUCAUGUAAUAUACGAUUUCACUAAUUCCUCCUGUCAAUCACAAAAUCAGCGAUAAGUUCACUUGAUUAAAUUCAAUGUCACUUAUUAACUAAUUUUAAUUUCUCGGGCCCAUUUAUCAUUUACCUUUCUUAAUCAAAUUAGAGAACGAUUAUGGAAUUGAGUACUUCAUUUUCAUAAUGACAUAGCAAAACUAUAGUCUUGCACAUAGUCACAUAUCACAUACAGAAGCCAUAGCCCAGCCAUAGUCUUACACGGAUCACAUAUCACAUUGAUACCAUAUUCCAGAUAUGGUCUUACACAGAAGCACAUAUGUCACCGAUGUCAUAUCCUAGAUAUGGUCUUAUACGGAAAUCACAUAUCACAUAUUGCCAUGAUUCAACCAUGGUCUUUUUUGUCAAUUCGUCUUAGCCAUUGAACGAAAGUACUCAAAUCCAUCGUUCCAACUAAUUUGUACUUUUUUUUUAACUCAAACAUUAUUUCAUAAUUAUCACAAUUUAAUAACAUUCAUUUAAAAUAAUAUACUAUAGCAUUCAUGAAUUUUUUAUAAAAAAAAUUUAAUUUAGCCAUAUGAACUUACCUGCCUAAUUUGCAAAAGUUGUAAAAAUUUCAGGGACUAUUCUGGCAAUUUUUCCUUUCCACAAUUUGCUUUGGGUUCUUGAUCUAUAAUUAUAAGAUCAUUCAAUUAUUAUCAUUUAUCACAAUUUUACUCUAUUUCAUACUUUAUGCACUUUAAUUUUUGAAAUUAGACUUUUACCCUAAACUUUUUAGUUUUUACAAUUUGGUUCUUGCUCAAUUUAUUCAUCAAUUGGACUAAUUCCUCUCAAAUAACACUUUAUCUAUACAUUAUAAACUACUUCAUAUCCUUUGACAUUCAAAAAUUUCAACAAAAAACCCUAAUUACAACAACUUCACAAUUAGGUCCUAAAAAUAAAUUGCUAUUAAAAUCUCUUCAUAAAAUCAUCAUAUAACAAAAUUAAAACCCCAAUUCCAUGCUAAAUCAUCAUAAAAUUUCAGCACUUAUUCAUGGAAACUCUCUAAAUCAUUCAUAAAAGCAAAAACUAAUGAAUAGAUAAUAGGAUCUAGUUGUAAAAGUCUCAAAAUCACAAAAAUUACAAGAAAUAAUCAAGAAUUGAGCUUACAUAUAGUAAAAUAUGAAAAACCAGCUUAAGAAAACCCUUCAAUGGUGUUUUUGGACGGAGAGAAUGAAGAAAAAUGAAGAGAAUUCUAGAUAUUCUAAUUUAAUCUAAUUUUUAACUAUUCAAUUUUAACUUAAUUACCAUUUUGCCUUUAGUUCACACUAUUUCUUAGCUAUUCACUUACCUAACCCUCUAGCCCAGUUUAUUUUAGGUCAAAUUUCUCUUUAAGUCCCUCUUAUUUAUUGUUUAAGCCAUUUAAUCACUUUUCACAGUUUUACAUCUUAUUUAAUUUAGUCCUUUUCAUUCAAUUGAUUGCCGAAAUGUUAAAAUUUCCCAACGAAACUAUAAUACUAACUUAUUAACAUUCCAUAAUAUUUCUAAAUUUUUUUUAGCUUGAUUUAUGAAUUCGAGGUCUCGAUACCUCGUUAUUGACCCAAUUACCUAAUACUUUUCCUUUUAAACACAAAAUUCACUAAAAAAAUUAUUUCUAAAAUCACACCUAAUUUUCACUUGUUAAUUUAUUAAUUACUAAACUCAUAUGUCGGAUUUAGUGAUUUUGAAUCACUGUUCCGACAUCACUGAAAUUGGGCCGUUGCACUUCUUACCAUAUAUAUACCCAGUUUCUGUUAGUGAAAUUUGACAAGUAUCCAAUACAUUAUGUAAAUUGUCCUUUUUAAGUGUUCUAUGAAACUAGGAGAAAUAAUAAAGAAUUUCUGAGAAAAUGCUCUUUGAGUAGUCAAUCCAUUUAGUUGAUUCCUAGCAAAUCCUAUUACAGGAACAAAUUGGAUAGUGCUCAAACAACUAAGUGUCCUCCACCUUAACAAGGAUUCACGUUUAGCGAUGUCAUAUGGACAAUUAGGUCUCAUACAGUUUAUUGCCGUAACUCUGAGAUUUAAUCUGCCAUUGCUUAAAAUAUUACGAACCAAAACCUUAGAUAUCGUUAACGGGUGGAUACUUAAGUGCCAAACAUUAGUUCACUAGAAGCAUGAGAAUUGGCAAAUUAUACAGUUUUAGUGCUCUGAAACAGGUUCACAUAUCUCUACAUACCUUUUUAGAUCUGUCAAAUUUGGGGUGUGACACCAUUAAACUUGUCCUAUACCUUGCCUAAUAGUUGCUCACAAAUUGCGCUCUAAUUGCCAACGCCCACUACCUCUGUAAUAACUACCCUAUCCAUCGGUAAACCGAGUUGAAAAAUUACAUCAUCAAGUAUUAUUGUACACUCACUGCAUGAAAGAUGUAAUGUAUGUGUUUCAGGUCUCCAUCUUUCUACCAAAGCGCUGAUAAGUGCAGGAUCCAAUUUAGUCCCCUCGAGCAUAUGAGACACAUACAAGAAUCUCACCCCUUACAAGUGUUGUUCAAUAACAUACGAUGCCCUAUCACUUAAAUUGUGUAUGUACAUGUCCAAAAUUCGAUCUUCGGAUUAUUAAACAUAAAAAUUUAUAAAAUUAAUAAUGUUAACAACUUAAUAAUUAAAUUUAUUAAAAUUAAAAAUAAUAAUAUUUUCUUACCAUUUGCAAUUAAAUGUCGAAAAUGUGUUUAUCACCCAAACAAAUAAGCGACAUUGACAUUUUUAAAAAUAUAAAUUUCAAAUAAAAUAAAAAAACUUACGAAAUAUAAAAUUAAAACAACUAGAAUUUGAGAGAAAUUGAAUGAAAAAUUAAGAACUAAAUAAUUAAGAGAAUUGAGAGAAUGAAUGAAUUGAGAAAAUUGAGAUAAUAGAAUUUGAAUGCAAAAGAAAAAGAAUGAGUUGGAUUUAUAUAGCAAAUAAAUUGGCCGUUAAAAAUUUUUAGCCGUUUGAAAAAAAUCAUUGGAAAUUAGCCAUUGGAUUUUUUGACUGUUGGGAAAAGUUAUCGUUGGACGAAAACGUGUUUUUUUCAACUGAGAUGGCAACAAAGACACUGAAAGAGUGUCUUACAGGGCACACUUUUUGCCACCUUAGCUGAAAGCACGUCCUGCUGGACGCUUUUUCAGAUUCUCUCUCCAAAAUCAACCAAUAUUCCUAAAUUUGAGAAAAUACGACUUAUUUUGCUAAAUAAGUUUUAAAAUUGCAUAUUUAUCUAAUUAACCCUCAAAAUAAGAGGUAUAAACAUCAGGUCAACUAGGAGUGAGCGAAAAGCUGUUCCAUCUUAUUACCAUUCCUUGAUAAACACAAUUCUUUUUUUUUGGGGUCAUGAGAAACACACCUUAUUACCUCUAAUUUCGUCUUGCUUCCUCCCUUGUUCCAGCCCACAUAUCGUCUGUAACGACCCAUAUUACACAGGCACCGGAAAAGUGAAUUUAGAGCCUCCGUCUUAGGAAAACGAGUCUGUAAAUAUUUAUUAAAAAUAUUUAUGAAGUUAGUUAUGGGUUGAAUUAGAUUUUGAUUAGGUGAAAUUUAGUUUAAUUAGAAGUAAUUAUUAAAAAGGACUAAAUUGAAUAGAGCGUAAAAGAUAAAUUUUAUAAUAGAGAAAGGAUAAAGGACUAAACUAGUAAUUAAACCAAAUUAGUGACAUGUGUAAGAUAGAGAAUAAAUACAUGUGUUUUUAAAUUAUUAGUACAAAUGUAUGUUAUAUAUAUAUAUUUACUUAUUUAUUAAGUUAAAGAUAUUUAUUAUUAUUAUUAUUAUCUAUUAAUGGAGAUAAUGACAAAUGUAUGGUGUGGGAUUAACACAUGUGUACAUGUGUAUAAAGACACAUUUAUCAUUUUUAUUUGUUAUUAUAUAGAUAUUUUAUAAUUAAAUAUUAAUUAAGUAAAUAAAAUGAAAUAAAGAAUAAUAAAAUAAAGAAACAAAAGAAAAAGAAUAGAAAGUUAUAGAGAAAGAAACAUGAAAGAGAGAAAGAAAGAAAAAAGGAAAAAGAAAAAGGGAAAAUUGAAGGUUAAGGGCUUAAAGCUUGAUUGGUAAGUUGAUUUAGUUCUUUUUCUUGUGAUUUUUAUGUGUAUGGAAUCCUAAUUCAAAGUUCUACAUGUAUGAGGUUAAUAUGAAGAAAAAUAAUGAAUUUUUAGAUGUUUAUUUAGAUGAAUAAUUUGAGGAUUUAUGGGUUAAUUUGAUAGAAAUUUAAGUUAGAAGUGAAAAAUGAGUGAAUUGUUAAAAGAAUUUUAAGUUAGGUUUAAGUAUGGACUAAAUUGAAAUGAGCUCAAAAGUUAUGUUUUAUGAUGAAUUUUAGGAGCUAGGAUUUAUUAAUGAAAUGAUUAAAUGAAAAUAUGAAGAUUAAGUUAAAGAAAAAGAUUGGUUAUGGAAAAAGGACGAAAUUGAAUUUUUUGUAAAAGUUUGAUAGAAAGUGAAAUGUGAUUUAUGAAUUAGUGUAUCGAUAAAUUUUAAUUGUAUAAUUGUUCGUAGCUAACGUAGCACCGGAACCGUUGUUGAAUGAGAAGGGAAAAGAAAAAGUGAUGGAGGAAUAGCUCGAGAAAAAAAUAUCGGUUUGUAUUAUCAUAAUUCAAGUUAUUUCUUAUUAAAUGUUUAAUUUUAAUAUAUGUGUAUGGAAUUUGAAUGAGAGGUAAGUAGUGAUAUUUGAAUUGGAUUUGAUUGAUGAAUGUAUACAUGUGUGAAAUUGAAUUGUAUAAUGAUGGUGAAUUUGAGAUUGUGAUUGAAUCGUUAUUGCGAUGGAUUUGAAUUCGAGUGAUUACGAUCAACUGAAAGUGAAAGUAAUAUGAAUAUGUAAUUUUGAUUCCCUAUUAACUAGUCGGGCUAGGGUGGAUAUAGUUGGCAUGCCAUAGGAUAGGAAGAAUUCAGGGAUUUUUCGACCUCGAGUCGAUGAGACACUUAGUGUGUCAUAUUUACUUCGGAUAGAUUCGAUGAGGCGUUGGUCGCCACUUUACUUCGGCUUAGCCGAUGAGACGUUGGUCGUCACUUUUUGGCUUCGAACUAUCCGAUGAAGCGUUGUUCGCCAUUCUGAUGUGUUUGGGUGGAUCCGUGUAUCCGCCAAAGUCUGAGUCAUGUUAAUAGGGGAAAAUAAGUGAAAUAAUAAAAUCAAAUGAAUUUGAUUAAUUGAGCUAUCGAAUAAAAUGAGAAAGUGAUAUUGUAAGAUGGAAUACGAGAUGAAGUUUGUAAAGAGAUUGAAGGCAUGAACCAAAGAUUUAUGAAGUGUUUAUAUUUGAAAUGUGAAUUGAAUAAUUAUAUGUGGUUAAGAGAUGAAUCAAAGGUUCAUGAGUUAAUUGAAAUUCCAUUGAUGAUUUAUUGGAUCUAACCUUUAAAAAUGAUAUAAUAGAAAUAUGAUAGUUUGGUAUGAAUUUAUAUGUAUGAUUUGUAUGUAUGAUUUGCUAAUUAUCUAUGUAUGUUAUGAUAUUUUAUUGUUGUUAUAAUUUGAAUUAUGAUAAUACCAUUGAGUAUUUCCAAUAUUCAGUGUAUGGUUGUUUUUCAUGCGCAGGUUAGGUAAAGUUGAAGUUCAGUCAAGCAUCCGAGUCAAUCCCGACCUCAGCUCAAUUUUUGGUGAUACAUCUAUCUUUUAGAAAUGUGGCAUGUACUAGGUUUGGUGUUUGUCACUUGUAAAUGUUUUAUAUUUUAAAUGUAAAUGUGGUAUGUAACGCCCCAAUUUUCGGGAAUUUUGUGAAUGUUGGCAAAAUUUCAUGCUUUGAUUUUGUCAUUUGUGAGUGAAAUUAUGAAAUAGGACCUAUGUAAAAAUGUUUGAAAAUGUUAUAGGCUAAUUUGUAGUGGCCAAAUAAAUAGUAGUGCAAAAUAGGAGGAUUUGCAUGUCAAACCUCC